rnacentral:rRNA from 1 species
UGCUAACGUCCGUCGUGGAGAGGGAAACAACCCAGACCGCCAGCUAAGGUCCCAAAUUACUACUAAGUGGGAAACGAUGUGGGAAGGCUCAGACAGCCAGGAUGUUGGCUUAGAAGCAGCCAUCAUUAAAGAAAGCGUAAUAGCUCACUGGUCGAGUCGGCCUGCGCGGAAGAUGUAACGGGGCUAAGUAGUAAACCGAAGCUGCGGCAAUGUGCUUUUGCACAUUGGGUAGGGGAGCGUUCUGUAAGCGGU